UACGGAACUACAAGUGUGUUUUAGGAACACGGGUUGUGGCAUUAAACAGCCAUCGGACUGUCUGCUAACCCCUAACCCCAAGUGACUUCAGUUAUCUGGUCCUUCGGUUGAAGUUUGACGAAAGUGGGCUGCGUACUUUUCUAAACAAUUAGUCAAAAUGCCUGUUGGACCGUUGAAAAUGGUGGGCAGAAGACACUUUGAACAGCUAGGCCGAUGGGUACCUACGCUGGUGAACUUUGGCGCAGCUGCAGGUCUAGGUGCCAUAUGGUUUACCGAAUGGAAAGCGGUUCUUCAAUAUGUGCCCAUUUGGAAUGCGAAAUACCAAGAAGAGUAACCAACAGUUGCACGUAUAAAUGAAACAAGAUUGCUGUUAGUCAAUCAGCGUUUUCCUGUUAGACCGAUCACUGUGAAAGUUUGAACAAUGUAAUUUCCCAGGUGCAUAGAUUAAUUGUAACAAAUGUUGAAGAUAAAACUCUAUGUAAGAUCUUAUUGUUAAGAUUUAUUUAUUUGCUCAAGUGUACACCGCGCACCAUUCCUUCGCCCAACACAGCGUACAACAAACUGAAACUUCGGGAAGUGGUAUUUUAAUUUACACAUCCGAUUUGUAUUGUAAAUAUUCAUUGUUGUACAUUUUCGCCAUUCUUCUUCCUACGCUCUUGAAAAAUGAAUUCAGCGAAUUC